UAGGGAAUCUUCGGCAAUGGACGAAAGUCUGACCGAGCAACGCCGCGUGAGUGAAGAAGGUUUUCGGAUCGUAAAACUCUGUUGUUAGAGAAGAACAAGGACGUUAGUAACUGAACGUCCCCUGACGGUAUCUAACCAGAAAGCCACGGCUAACUACGUGCCAGCAGCCGCGGUAAUACGUAGGUGGCAAGCGUUGUCCGGAUUUAUUGGGCGUAAAGCGAGCGCAGGCGGUUUCUUAAGUCUGAUGUGAAAGCCCCCGGCUCAACCGGGGAGGGUCAUUGGAAACUUGGAGACUUGAGUGCAGAAGAGGAGAGUGGAAUUCCAUGUGUAGCGGUGAAAUGCGUAGAUAUAGGGAGGAACACCAGUGGCGAAGGCGGCUCUCUGGUCUGUAACUGACGCUGAGGCUCGAAAGCGUGGGGAGCAAACAGG
rnacentral:rRNA from 1 species